GAUGAACGCUGGCGGCGUGCCUAAUACAUGCAAGUCGAGCGAACAGAUGAGGAGCUUGCUCCUCUGACGUUAGCGGCGGACGGGUGAGUAACACGUGGAUAACCUACCUAUAAGACUGGGAUAACUUCGGGAAACCGGAGCUAAUACCGGAUAAUAUAUUGAACCGCAUGGUUCAAUAGUGAAAGCCGGUUUUGCUGUCACUUAUAGAUGGAUCCACGCCGCAUUAGCUAGUUGGUAAGGUAACGGCUUACCAAGGCAACGAUGCGUAGCCGACCUGAGAGGGUGAUCAGCCACACUGGAACUGAGACACGGUCCAGACUCCUACGGGAGGCAGCAGUAGGGAAUCUUCCGCAAUGGGCGAAAGCCUGACGGAGCAACGCCGCGUGAGUGAUGAAGGUCUUCGGAUCGUAAAACUCUGUUAUUAGGGAAGAACAAAUGUGUAAGUAACUAUGCACGUCUUGACGGUACCUAAUCAGAAAGCCACGGCUAACUACGUG
rnacentral:rRNA from 1 species